AUUGAACGCUGGCGGCAGGCCUCACACAUGCAAGUCGAACGAGUGGCGUACGGGUGAGUAAUGUCUGGGAAACUGCCUGAUGGAGGGGGAUAACUACUGGAACCGGUAGCUAAUACCGCAUACCAUCGGAUGUUCCCAGAUGGGAUUAGCUAGUAGGUGGGGUAACGGCGCACCUAGGCGACGAUCCCUAGCUGGUCUGAGAGGCUGACCAGCCACAAUGGAACUGAGACACGGUCCAGACUCCUACGGGAGGCAGCAGUGGGGAAUAUUGGGCAAUGGACGCAAGUCUGAUGCAGCCAAGCCGCGUGUAUGAAGAAGGUCUUCGGGUUGUAAAGUUCUUUCAGCGAGGAGGCGUUACCCACAGAAGAAGCACCGGCUAACUCCGUGCCAGCAGCCGCGGUAAUUC
rnacentral:rRNA from 1 species